UACGUAGGGGGCUAGCGUUGACCGGAAUCAUUGGGCGUAAAGAGCGUGUAGGCGGCCCGGUAAGUCCGCUGUGAAAGUCGGGGGCUCAACCCUCGAAUGCCGGUGGAUACUGUCGGGCUAGAGUGCGGAAGAGGCGAGUGGAAUUCCUGGUGUAGCGGUGAAAUGCGCAGAUAUCAGGAGGAACACCAAUUGCGAAGGCAGCUCGCUGGGACGUAACUGACGCUGAGACGCGAAAGCGUGGGGAGCAAACAGG
rnacentral:rRNA from 1 species